rnacentral:rRNA from 1 species
UACGGAGGGUGCUAGCGUUGUUCGGAAUCACUGGGCGUAAAGGGCGUGUAGGCGGUCCGCUAAGUCUGAUGUGAAAUCCCCUCGCUCAACGAGGGAACUGCGUCGGAUACUGGCAGACUCGAGUACCGGAGAGGAAGGUGGAAUUCCCGGUGUAGCGGUGAAAUGCGUAGAUAUCGGGAGGAACAUCGGUGGCGAAGGCGGCCUUCUGGACGGAUACUGACGCUGAGACGCGAAAGCGUGGGGAGCAAACAGG